GUACGUUACCUACCUAUAAUUUUUCAAGAUAUUCUUAUUUAAAGAUAAUCAGCCAUCAGAUGUUCGAAGACAAAAAUCAACGUGCAUUACCAGGGUUUUGAAAAGAUAUCUAUCGAUGAAAAUUCUUGUAAAAUUGAAGGAAAAAUAAUUUUUAAAAAGAUAGAUGUUUUGCUUAUCCAGAUUUGUUUUAGAAGUGUACAACAGCAUAUAUAGAUAUAAAAUUUAGCAAACGUUCCUUAAAGAAUGGAACUCUUCAACUCCAGGGGAAAACACAAAAAAGUUCAAACUACGUUGCAUAUGUCCUUAAACCUAGAAAAAGCUCCACACUAACAGAAACUCUACAAACAACAAUAACCACAAAAAACAACUACACCAUUACAUCCACUACACAAACAAGAACUACAACAAAAAAACUGCAAUUUCGGGUAAUAUCUUUUGUAUUUUAUGCAUUAUGUCGCUUUAAGAAUAGUAUUCGGUAGUUUAUAAUAAUCAACAAGCGAAUUAUAUAGUAACAGCGACGGCUUUUUAUUUGCUGACACUAUGAAAUCCGCCGAUUUCUACACGAGGACGAAAAUCAGGGAAAUGGUAAAUGCACAUACAUGAAAAUUGUAAAUGAUAUUAAUCAGUCAAUUUUUUUGCUAAUUUUUACUUUUUGUACAUAGCCCUCAUUUGAAAUAUUUCUUUAUACCUUUGACUUUCACGUCUUAGCAUCCGACGAUGAUCUUGGAAUAACAACAUUCGAGAGAUAACACAAUUAUGAAACUGAUUGUCACUCCUAAACCGACAGUACAGAUUUACGGUUAAUGGAGGCUAUGACGUGUCUGUAAAGUUAUUGGAGUAUUACAGAGACCCAGACAAUUGCUGUGAUACGGUUAUUGGGUGUGCCGGGGAGUGUGACGUUUAUUUCCAGAUCUGCUUGAAACCAUUACAACCAAAACAAUAUCAGAAGUGCUAUGGCAAAAAUCGAAACCAGAGAGUUAGAAACACACACAACUUUUUGUUCGCCGACUCUCUGAAAUCUGCUGAUUUAUACACGUGGAAAGACAUCAUAGGACAGCCAUCGUUUGAUAUAUCAGUCCAUGCCUUUGACUUUGACGACUUUUCAUCUGAUGAUGAACUUGGGGUAACAACAUACGAGUACAGAGAUUACACAACACAGAAACUGACUGUCACAACGAAUCCCGGGAGUAAAAAAUUACGGAUAAAGUUAUCCCUGGAUGUUUCAAGUGGACAAGAAAGUGUGAAUACUCCAAUAGAGAAGUGGCUACAUUUAGUUGUCGCUGUGUCCGCUGCCUCGUUGUUUUGUCUUUAGACAGUUAAUACAUCUCCUGUAUGGGUUCGACAAAUACAAGGCUUUUAAUAAAUCUAUUUGAUUUUGAAUCAUUCAAUUAUUUAAUGCUUAAUGAAUUAUUUCUGUUUCAUAUGAUCUUGUCAUGUAUGAAGAUUUCUACUGGGUUUCUUAAUAAACGAUAGAAUACUCUACAACUUUACCUACAACGUGUAACACUAAACCAAAUCAAAACAAUACUUCAAACAGAAGUACGUCAAAACCUGGACGUAUCCAUAUAAAUUUAAAAGUUAAAUGUUUCAAGCCAUAACUUGAAUAACUUGACGAAUUCUGAAGGAAAUUUGAAGUGGAGUUGUUUAGGAUUUAAACACUGACUUUUCACAAUAAAAACUCCAUCAGCAUGUCGAUCUGUCUGACAGAUUAUAGUGAUUUUAUACCUGAUAUCAACGUUGAAGACAAAUUCUUCAAUAGUUUAAACAAAAUAUUAAUAUUCUAGCAAAAAACAGUUUCAUUAAAAACAAGAGAAUAAGUACAUUAGUACAUUAGCAGGGAGUUUUCCAAUUAUUUUUACAAAAAGUAAAAAUUCUGAAUUUUUGUUUAAUCAAACACAUAUUUUUGAUUUUACUUUCUCUGUAUUUUUAGCACAGGUUUUUGUUUUACAUCACGUUUUAGGACACUUUCCUUCCUUCUUUAAUCUCCUCCAUCUUGUUUUAAAAGUUUUUAAAGUAUUUUUUUCUGAUUUGAGGAUGUUACGUUACGUAUUUUACAAACAUUCUUCGGCGUUUCAGAUCUUUCUUUCGAUCAUCUUUUUUCAUUAUUUAAUACAUCUUCACAGCUAUUUUAAUCCAAAAUUAGAAGGACACGGACGACAGAUUAUAAAGAUAAAUAAUUUUCAAAAUGAUUUACGUGUUUGCAAUUUAUACUUCCGUAUGCUUGUUUGUUUUUUUAAUGUAAGUUUAUUCUGACUGCCCUUUAUCUUUAUUCAAGCCAUUCUCUCUUUUCUGUCGUAUUGUCUUGCACAAUUGGACCAAGACUAUGCCUUAAAACAAGCAGAGUGUGCUUCUGUGUAUCCGAUAAGUUGAUAAACGUAACUCCUCUAUAUGCAGGGUGAAGGUCGUUCAAAAGACGUAGCAGUAAAAAAAAACUUUAUGUGUCAGACAUAAUUACAAAUUAAUUGCUCCUUAGUGCUAAUUUAUUUGCCCCUUUUUUCUUUUAAUUUUGUAUUAAGAUAUGUGUAGAUUCUAAAAAUAUACUUGACAAAACAUUCUCAAUACGUUUGAUGACAAGAGCCAUCGUCCUUAAAAUCAGGUCUUUGCUACGCUUCGAAAUUUUGGUAGUCGCUUUGCACAGCGACCAUCAGAAUUUCAGAGCGUAACAAAGAUUUUAUUUUAAUCAGAUUGACACACGUGAUGGCUUCAAGAACCUCUUUUUGUUUAAGAAUCUCAAUAUGGACGCUUUAGCUUCUUCAGAAGAAGGAUAUGGAGAUAACGAGCAAUCUCAAAGUCCAUAAAAUAAUACAAAAUAGAAGCAGAGCAAACAGGAACCUCCAAAAACAUCAGAUGGCUCAUUCAAAAACUUCAAGGGAACUGAGCAAAGAUGUGAUGUGAUGAAAAUUUUUAGAGUGAUAAAUUGUUUAUUGAUUUUAUGCAAAACCUCAUCAAAAGAGACAUGUAUGUUUUGGUCUACUGUAUAUAAUCAAUGUCAUUUACUACGCUCACUUCUAUUUAUUAUAUAUAAAUAGAGAAAAGAUGUAACCCCAGUCUUGAUAUAUGACUUUUUGAUUUCUAAGGCAAUAAAAUAGACUGAAAUACACAAAUAUGUGUAAUAUAUUCAGUAUUGUAAAAUUCUCCCAUUAGUGCUCGAAAAUACAUGUUUACUUCAUUGGCAUAUAAAAGAAUAAUGCAACUGAAUAUGAUCGUUGUAUCUUCAGGAUAAGCAGAUACACACGAUUUUAUUAGAUAUAAAAAUAUUAUAUGGUUUUAAAAAAGAGAGAAGAUUAAAAUCGUAAAUUCUUGUCUUCCGUUUGAAGUUCGAUUAAGAAAGGAGGCGGGGAAAAAUAAAGUAAUGCGAAGUGAAAAUGAAGACCUGGAUAUUUGCAAUGGUUUUCUUCUCAGGAUUUGUUUUCCAGGUAAUUUUAUAUAAGGUAGUAGUAGUAUGGCAGGUUUGGUGCCAAUAGAUUGUAAAGCAAAUGUAUUACAAUUACCAUUACUUCUUUAAUUUGGGCUUUAGAUAACUAUACCUGUAAACUCAAUUGAAUAUUAUUUGAAAUUAAAGUUUAUCUAAUAUAGGCAUAAUAUUUGUUCAUGUAAUUUUUGUUAUUUAGACAGAAUAUGAUAACAGUUAAAUGUUGUAGAUUGAUUGUAAUGCUAAAUAAAAUUUAAAAAAAUCCUGUAAAGCAUGAUUAGAUGCACUUAUUUUCUUAACUUGAUAACUGUUACAAGUGUCUAUGCAAGAAUAACAAGACCCUUUUCAACACUGUUUUCAGUAAUAAUUAAAUAAUUAUCUAAUCAGUAGGAUAUUAUCAUUAAUGUACUUAAAACUAUAUUUUGAAUGUUGAUGAAUGUAAAUAACAAAGAGAUGUUAAAAUUACCUAUCACGGAAACUGAAUUCGGUGAAAGAAAGAUUUUACUUUUUCCUGAGUUAACUCAAAAUGUAGACGGAAAAUUCCUUUAGAUCGAUCUCUGAAUGAAAGCAGACAGAUCCUGUACGUGAAAAUAAAUACAAACGAGACACAAAUAUCAAACUGUAAUUUGUAUC